UGAUGGCAAUGAUGAUUUUUAUGCUCUGUUUACCUGAAAGCAAAUAUGAGGGUAUUCAGUCACUACCUCAUCUGAUGCCAUCU
rnacentral:snoRNA from 10 species